ACCACAACCACUGCAGCCCCUACUACAACCACAACCACUGCAGCCCCCACUACAACGACUAGAACUACUUCUGAUCCCAAUGGUCCUACAUUCAUGUCACUUUCAUUCAGAAUGAUAAUGGACUUCAAAGAAACCCUGAGAGAUGAGAAGUCACAGGAUUUCAAAGACUUAAGUGAUAAAGUUAGCAGAGAUCUAUAUAAAGUUUACGUAGUGCUGUAUCCUGUUGGUUUCGUCAGAGUAUUGGUUAGAAGAUUCAGGCCGGGAUCAGUCAUCCCAGAAGUAGAUUUGGAAUUCAAAGCCAAUUCCACAACCCCAAGCAAUCCGGACAUUGUCAGAACUCUCUACACAGCAUUGACUGGAUCAGGAAAUCUGGGAGACCUAGUAUUGGACAAAA